rnacentral:lncRNA from 1 species
GCAUGGACCUCUCUCUCACCCUCUUUCGUUAUAUAUGCCUAUAGAGUUGAGCUAGAAUGGUAUCAGUAACAAAUGGAUUUCGAUGUCACCCAUUUGUUUACGUUGACGGUUGAAUAUGAUCUAUACUACUUGAAACAUUAAAAAACCGAAUUUCAAAUCUUUUUGACAUCAUUAGCUUAAUGAUCGAAAGGUUUCGAAAUUUGUAAUUAUAAUGGUUAAUAUGAGAUGUUUUCUCAUUUAACAGCGUAAAGAUAUCAAAAUCAAUUGAAUUUUAGUUAAAAAGUUUUUUAAACUAUUUACAACAAGAUUUACACUCUUCAUCUUAAUUACAAGACUUCUAUCAUCACUUUUUAAAGAAUAUUCAUUUUCAACCAUUCAUUUUUGUGUCUACUUAAUGGAUAAGAAAAUAAUAUAAAAAAAACAUAAAAUUUAAUUUUUAAAUGCUUCAAACGGUAUAGAUCAUAUUAAUGGUGUCGAUUGUCAAUUUCGGCGCUCCAUCAUCGAAAACAAAUAGGUGGCAGCGGAGCUCGACUCCAUAUCUAUAUAUAAUUUUAUUUUCAUAUUAAUAUACUAUUAUAUAAUAUAUUAUUUAUAAAUAUUAUAUAAUAGGAGUUCGACUGCUAUACUUAAUAUAUACUCCUUUAUACUCAAAAGUUUUGGGCCAUUAGAUUUAUCUUUUCACUAUUUCCGCUCUAAUACUAUUCAACCAACCACCAACUCAACCCUAGAAGACCACUAUCCUCCUAGCCGGAUAUCACUAUCAUCCUAAUCACAUAUCCCUUCAUCCAAGGGUUGAAAAUUUAUAAGUAUAAAGGUGUCCACAUAUCCCUUUAUCCAAAGACCAAAGGCUGAAAACUUAUGAGUAUAAAAGUGUCUAUACUCGUAGACAACGUUUGGUUCAGAAACAGGAGCCUUUGUUCCCCUAUUUGUUAUCAAAGAUAAAUAUUCGUAUCCGAAAAUAGUAAUUCUCGAAUUCCUGAAAUUUCUCCCCUUUGUUCCCAAAUAUAAAUAUUUGUAUUCAAAAACAGUAAUUUUCAGAUCCUUGGAAUAAGCUCGAUCUGUUGUUCCAUUCUUUUUCCUGAACAAGCUUGUUUCCAGGCAGGAACAAGUUUAAUUAAAGUCUAAAUUUAAUUACGAUAUUAAAUUAUUAAUUAAUCUAAUUA